rnacentral:rRNA from 2 species
GCUAUACAUGCAGUCAGACGAAACUUUCUUACCCGAAUGCUUGCAUUCACCGUAAGAAGUUGAGUGGCGGACGGGUGAGUAACACGUGGGUAACCUGCCUAAAAGAAGGGGAUAACACUUGGAAACAGGUGCUAAUACCGUAUAUCUCUAAGGAUCGCAUGAUUCUUAGAUGAAAGAUGGUUCUGCUAUCGCUUUUAGAUGGACCCGCGGCGUAUUAACUAGUUGGUGGGGUAACGGCCUACCAAGGUGAUGAUACGUAGCCGAACUGAGAGGUUGAUCGGCCACAUUGGGACUGAGACACGGCCCAAACUCCUACGGGAGGCAGCAGUAGGGAAUCUUCCACAAUGGACGCAAGUCUGAUGGAGCAACGCCGCGUGAGUGAAGAAGGUCUUCGGAUCGUAAAACUCUGUUGUUAGAGAAGAACACGAGUGAGAGUAACUGUUCAUUCGAUGACGGUAUCUAACCAGCAAGUCACGGCUAACUACGUGCCAGCAGCCGCCGGUAAAAAAAA